rnacentral:rRNA from 1 species
AUGCAGUCGAACGGUAACGACGAAAAUGAACCCUUCGGGGCGAUUUUUCGGGCGACGAGUGGCGAACGGGUGAGUAAUGCGUAGGAAUCUACCCAAUAGUGGGGAAUAACCCGGGGAAACUCGGGCUAAUACCGCAUAAGCCCUACGGGGGAAAGCGGGGGACCUUCGGGCCUCGCGCUAGUGGAUGAGCCUACGUCCGAUUAGCUUGUUGGCAGGGUAACGGCCUACCAAGGUUAUGAUCGGUAGCUGGUCUGAGAGGAUGGUCAGCCACACUGGGACUGAGACACGGCCCAGACUCCUACGGGAGGCAGCAGUGGGGAAUAUUGGACAAUGGGCGCAAGCCUGAUCCAGCCAUACCGCGUGUGUGAAGAAGGCCUUCGGGUUGUAAAGCACUUUAAGUAAGGAAGAAAAGAGUAUUGUUAAUACCAAUACUCCGUGACAUUACUUACAGAAUAAGGACCGGCUAAUUCCGUGCCAGCAGCCGCGGUAAUACGGAAGGUCCAAGCGUUAAUCGGAAUUACUGGGCGUAAAGCGCGCGUAGGUGGUUUAUUAAGUUGGGUGUGAAAGCCCCGGGCUCAACCUGGGAACUGCAUCCAAAACUGAUUCACUAGAGUACGAAAGAGGAAAGUAGAAUUCACAGUGUAGCGGUGGAAUGCGUAGAUAUUGUGAAGAAUACCGAUGGCGAAGGCAGCUUUCUGGUUCUGUACUGACACUGAGGUGCGAAAGCGUGGGUAGCGAACAGGAUUAGAUACCCUGGUAGUCCACGCCGUAAACGAUGACAACUAGCUGUUGGGAAGCUAUGCUUUUCAGUGGCGCAGCUAACGUCUUAAGUUGUCCGCCUGGGGAGUACGGCCGCAAGGUUAAAACUCAAAUGAAUUGACGGGGACCCGCACAAGCGGUGGAGCAUGUGGUUUAAUUCGAUGCAACGCGAAAAACCUUACCUACACUUGAC